AGCGUGGAGACAGGUGGUGCAUGGCUGUCGUCAGCUCGUGUCGUGAGAUGUUGGGUUAAGUCCCGCAACGAGCGCAACCCUCACCCCUUGUUGCCAUCAGGUCAUGCUGGGCACUCUAGGGGAACUGCCCCGGUCAACGGGGAGGAAGGCGGGGAUGACGUCAAGUCAUCAUGCCCCUUACGUCCUGGGCUACACACGUGCUACAAUGGCCGGUACAAAGGGAUGCGAGACCGCGAGGUGGAGCCAAACCCAAAAAGCCGGUCUAAGUUCAGAUUGGAGUCUGCAACUCGACUCCAUGAAGGAGGAAUCGCUAGUAAUCGCGUAUCAGCACGACGCGGUGAAUACGUUCCCGGGCCUUGUACACACCGCCCGUCACACCACGAAAGCCAGCUGUACUCGAAGUCGCUGAG
rnacentral:rRNA from 1 species